CAGGGUUAGUCGGGACCUAAGCCGAGGCCGAAAGGCGUAGGUGAUGGACAAUCGGUUGAUAUUCCGAUACCACCUAUUUACGUUUGAGAAAUGGGGUGACGCAGUAGGUUAAGAUGUGCGCACUAUUGGAUGUGCGUCUAAGCACUUAGGCAUGCUUGAUAGGCAAAUCCGUCGAGCUAAGCUGAGGUGUGAUGGGGAGCCAUUUAUGGCGAAG
rnacentral:rRNA from 1 species